rnacentral:lncRNA from 1 species
GGGCCUGGACGGCUCCCUCACCACGCACUUCUGCCAGGACGAGUCCCGGUCCUCCAGCGCCAACGACAUCGUCAAGCGCGUCGUCGGCAGCUCCGUCCCCGUGCUGGACGACGAGACCACGCUCUCGCUCCGCGUGCUCGUCGACCACUCCAUCGUCGAGAGCUUCGCGCAGGGCGGAAGGUCGACGGCAACCUCGCGCGUCUACCCCACCGAGGCCAUCUACGCCAACGCCGGCGUGUUCCUCUUCAACAACGCCACCGCCGCGCGCGUCACCGCCAAGAAGCUCGUCGUCCACGAGAUGGACUCAUCCUACAACCACGACUACAUGGUCACGGACAUCUGAUGCUGCUGCUGAUCCGUCGAUCGUCC